rfam:Porphyromonas sp. HMSC065F10 Porphyromonas_spHMPREF2890-1.0_Cont611.3, whole genome shotgun sequence.
CAAGGGGUGCCCCUUGGGCGAGAAGAAACAAUCGCAAACUCGUGGCCUGACGGACAGAAACCUAAUACUAAGGCGUAUCAAGCGGAUAAGCAGGCAAAAGGCAGUGAAGAUCCAAAAUGCAAUCGUAACCUUGAUGCGUAAAUUAGGCAGGUAAACGAUGAAAGAUGUAAGG